GCAUGGAGAGCACUGAAAAACACCAUAAUAGGGACUCAGACUAAAUGUAUACCCCAAAUCAAAAAAGACAAAACAUAAGAGGACCAAAACACUGCCACCUAGCUAAACAGUAGAGAAGAAGAGGCAGUUAGAGGUAAAAAGGACAUCCUUUAAAAAUUUAAAGUCAAAACCUACUGAGGAAAAGAGAAAGGAGCAUAAACACUGGGAAGUCAAGUGUCAGACUGUAUUGAGGCA